GACGAACGCUGGCGGCGUGCUUAACACAUGCAAGUCGAACGGAAAGGCCCGGUGCUUGUGGGGUGCUCGAGUGGCGAACAGGGGAGUGAAACGCGAGUAACCUGCGCCUGACAUUGGGAGAACAUCAGGGAACUGGAGUGCAUAUAGCACAGGAGCUCCUGAUGCAUGGGGGGGGAUGGUGAGAUUCGGCGGUUGGGGAUGGACUCGCGGCUUAUCGGCUUGUUGGUGGGGUAGUGGCGUACCACGGCUUUGACGGGUAGCCGGCCUGAGAGGGUGACCGGCCACAUUGGCACUCGGAUGGGGCCCGGACUCCUACGUGGGGCAGCGGUGAGAGUUAUUGCACGAUGGGCGGAAGCCGGGUGGAGCAACGCCGCGUGCGAGAUGUCGGCCUUCGGGUUGUAAACCGCGUGCGCCUGGAACGAAGCGUGAGUGACGGUAAUUAGUAAGAAAGCACCGGCUAACUACGUG
rnacentral:rRNA from 1 species